rnacentral:rRNA from 1 species
UCUGGAAGUUGCUUAUUGCACCACAUGUGUUUUUCUUUGAAACAAACUUGCUUUGGCGGUGGGCCCAGCCUGCCGCCAGAGGUCUAAACUUACAACCAAUUUUUUAUCAACUUGUCACACCAGAUUAUUACUAAUAGUCAAAACUUUCAACAACGGAUCUCUUGGUUCUCGCAUCGAUGAAGAACGCAGCGAAAUGCGAUACGUAAUAUGAAUUGCAGAUAUUCGUGAAUCAUCGAAUCUUUGAACGCACAUUGCGCCCUCUGGUAUUCCGGAGGGCAUGCCUGUUUGAGCGUCGUUUCUCCCUCAAACCGCUGGGUUUGGUGUUGAGCAAUACGACUUGGGUUUGCUUGAAAGACGGUAGUGGUAAGGCGGGAUCGCUUUGACAAUGGCUUAGGUCUAACCAAAAACAUUGCUUGCGGCGGUAACGUCUACCACGUAUAUCUUCAAACUUUGACCUCAAAUCAGGUAGGACUACCCGCUGAACUUAAGCAUAUCAAAAGCCGGAGGAA